UUUUUUAAAAAAAGGAAAAAAGAUAAAGUUUCCGUAGGUGAACCUGCGGAAGGAUCAUUG
rnacentral:rRNA from 1 species